rnacentral:lncRNA from 1 species
UUUUAAAAAAAGGGUAUAGAGGCUCAGACUUUAUUUAUAUCGAAUGGUAAGAUAUAGUGCAAAGAAGGGCUACAAGACCAUCAGAAACUAUUUUUGUUGCAUCCGCUCCAGGAAACCCUGGCUUGCUUCAGAUCGAGCUCGGUUCCUUACCAAGUAAAACGGUUUGUUCCAAUCUUUUUCUUGCUUUUAUUCAGCUAAGAGACAGCAAAUCCUGUGGCGGAGGCUUAAGUUAUAGGUUGAAGCAAUGCCAACGGGAAUCAAGAGUUGGUUGCCUACAAAUGAGGCCAUCCAAAACUCUUUACCACUUUUCUCCAACAGAAGCAAAACCUUAAAGGAAAUGGAGAGGAUACAACGAAAACCAAUAAUUCAUGGCCUAGAAACUGGGCUAUCCAG